rnacentral:rRNA from 1 species
CCUACGGGUGGCAGCAGUAGGGAAUCUUUCACAAUGGGCGAAAGCCUGAUGCAGCAACGCCGCGUGCAGGAUGACGGCCCUCGGGUUUUAAACUGGUUUUAUAAGCGAGAAAUAUGAUGGUAACUUAUGAAUAAGGAUCAUCUAACUAAGUGCCAGCAGCCGCGGUCAUACGUGGGAUACGAGCAUUAUCCGGAGUGUCUGGGUGUAAAGAGUUGCGUAGGUGGGAUAAUAAGUAGCUAGUGAAAUCUGGUGGCUCAACCAUUCAGACUAUUAGCUAUACUGUUAAGCUCGAGUACGUUAGAGGUAACUGGAAUUUGUGGUGUAGGAGUGAAAUCCGUAGAUAUUAGAAGGAACACCAAUAGCGUAGGCAGGUUACUGGGACGGUUCUGACACUGAGGCACGAAAGCGUAGGGAGCAAACGGGAUUAGAUACCCCUGUAGUC